UACAGAGGAUGCAAGCGUUAUCCGGAAUGAUUGGGCGUAAAGCGUCUGUAGGUGGCUUUUUAAGUCCGCCGUCAAAUCCCAGGGCUCAACUCUGGACAGGCGGUGGAAACUACCAAGCUGGAGUACGGUAGGGGCAGAGGGAAUUUCCGGUGGAGCGGUGAAAUGCGUAGAGAUCGGAAAGAACACCGGUGGCGAAGGCGGCUACCUGGACAGAUACUGACACUGAGGCGCGAGAGCGUGGGUAGCAAACAGG
rnacentral:rRNA from 1 species